rnacentral:miRNA from 1 species
UUGUUAUAGUAUUCCACCUUCC